GGCGGGGCCCGCGUCACGGGGCGGAGCCUCCGGCGGGCAGGCGCAAGGACCCAGCACCGCCCAGCCUGCUAGCCCCGGGGCUGGUAACCCGCGCCGCGGAGAAGCUCGCUGGGGUUGUGGAGGAGCCCUAGACCCCCUAGACCCCGCGCUCCCUCUCCACCUCACAGGUUCCGUUGCUCACCUCAGGGCACCGCCGCUCAGAGCCCUUGUUUCUCAGUAGGGCUGAGAACCAGUUUCGGAUGCAUCGGAGGACCUCACCCCAGGGUUACUGUACACGCAUUUGUAUCCGCAUGGUUAGUUAACAGUGAAGCAGAGCAUGUGGACCGCAGAGCAUGUGGACGGAAAGGCAGCGUCGGCUCUGAUGUAAAUAUGCUUUCCUAGGUAUUAGACUAAAAUGGACGCUACAACGAUGUGCAGGAUACUUAAUCCUGUGGCUUCUACCAGCCCAAAGCAAAUGUUCAUGCCGAGGAAACAAUAAAAGACCAAUUACUUACAGUGUUUGCCCGUGGGGUGAGAGGCUACAAACAAUAUAACGCAAUGAUAAUGAUGACCUGAAAGAAUCCUCAGUCACAUGUGGUGAUCCUGGGUUAGCUUCUCAAAAGUAGUCACGUCUGUUGGGAAGCCUGGAGGACUUAUGUACAGCAUAUCCUGCUUUAAACAUUGUUUUCAUGAAAUUACCUUACAACUCAGUAUAGGUGAGUGACCUGCUUGUAAAUUAUGUCUUGUCUAGUAAACACCACUUGGAGAAAAACAAAACAAAAACGAAA